rnacentral:tRNA from 1 species
GGAGAGAUGGCUCAGUGGUUAAGAGCACUGGCUGCUCUUCCAGAGGACCUGGGUUCAAAUCUCAGCAUCCA